AGACGAACAAAUUGAAGCAUGGAGAACUUAAGGAAUGCCUUAAGACUACCACUGAUUCUCUACAGACAGUGAAGCGUAAUAUUUCCCAGACUAGCACUUCCCACAGCCCUGCACAUGGGACCCCACUGCCUGGUAGAAAUGAAGUGGCCUUACUAACAAGUUUACCUCCAAAUUAUGAGAUUUCAGAAGGAAAACCAAGAGCCAUCUCUGCAUACAUGAGAGCAGGCAAAGGAAAUGUCCCAAGGGGAAGAAAGAGGACACACUUGGGCAAUGAUUAUGGGGUAAAGGAAGCACAGGAGACAGUGUAGGAAAUGUACAGCCCAUGUGGAAGAUCCAAAGAGAGCUUUGGCUGUGACUAAGCUUCCUGCAUUCUCCUGGAGUUUGUGGUUUACGAAUGUGGCACCAUCUGCGGAACUGACAACCCCUGAUGUGUUCACCCUGCUCCUCUUCCAG